UGGCCUACGGGAGGCAGCAGUGGGGGAUAUUGCACAAUGGGGGAAACCCUGAUGCAGCGACGCCGCGUGGGUGAAGAAGCGCCUCGGCGCGUAAAGCCCUGUCAGCAGGGAAGAAAAUGACGGUACCUGAAGAAGAAGCCCCGGCUAACUACGUGCCAGCAGCCGCGGUAAUACGUAGGGGGCAAGCGUUAUCCGGAUUUACUGGGUGUAAAGGGGGCGCAGACGGCGAUGCAAGCACGGAGUGAAAGCCCGUGUCCCAACCACGGGACUGCUCUUGGACCU
rnacentral:rRNA from 1 species